rnacentral:rRNA from 1 species
GGGUUUGAUUCUGGCUCGUUGAACGCUGGCAGGAUGCUUUACAUGCAAGUCGAACGGCAGCACGGACUUCGGUCUGGUGGCGAGUGGCGAACGGGUGGGUAAUGUAUCGGAACGUGCCUAGUAGCGGGGGAUAACUACGAAAGCGUAGCUAAUACCGCAUACGCCCUUCGAAAGCGGGGACCUUCGGGCCUCGCACUAUUAGAGCAGCCGAUAUCGGAUUAGCUAGUUGGUGGGGUAACGGCUCACCAAGGCGACGAUCCGUAGCUGGUUUGAGAGGACGACCAGCCACACUGGGACUGAGACACGGCCCAGACUCUACGAGAGCAGCAGUGAAAUUUUGGACAAUGGGGAAACCCUGAUCAGCCAUCCCGCGUGUGCGAUGAAGGCCUUCGGGUUGUAAAGCACUUUGGCAGGAAAAGAAACGGCACGGGAUAAUACCCGUGCAACUGACGGCUACCUGCAGAAUGAAAGCACCGGCUAACUACGUGCCAACAGCCGCGGUAAUACGUAGGGUGCAAGCGUUAAUCGGAAUUACUGGGCGUAAAGCAUUAGCAGGCGGUUCGGGGGAAAAGAAGAUGUGAAAUCCCGGAAACAACUUUGGAACUGCAUUUUUAACUACCGAGCUAGAGAGUGUGUCAGGAGGUGGAGAUUCCCGCGUGUAGCAGUGAAAUGCGUAGAUAUGCGGAGGGAACACCGAUAGCAGUGACCCUCCUGGGAUAACACUGACGCUCAUGCACGAAAGCGUAGAGCAAACAGGAUUGAAUACCCUGGUAGUCCACGCCCUAAACGAUGUCAACUAGCUGGCCCCAGGGCCUUCGGGCCUUGGUAGCGCAGCUAACGCGUGAAGUUGACCGCCUGGGGAGUACGGUCGCAAGAUUAAACUCAAAGGAAUUGACGGGGACCCGCACAAGCGGUGGAUGAUGUGGAUUAAUUCGAUGCAACGCACGAAAAACCUUACCACGCUGACAUGUCUGGAAUCCCGAAGAGAUUUGGGAGUGCUCGCAAAGAGAACCGGAACACAGGUGCUGCACGUGGCUGUCGUCAGCUCGUGUCGUGAGAUGUUGGGUUAAGUCCGCAACGAGCGCAACCCUUGUCAUUAGUUGCUACGAGGAGCACUCUAAUAAGGACUGCCGGUGACAAACCGGAGGAAGGUGGGGAUGACGUCAGUCCUCGUAAGCCCGCUAUGGGUAGGGCUUCACGAUAUACAAUGGUCGGGACAGGGUCGCCAACCCGCGAGGGGGAGCCAAUCCCAGAAACCCGAUCAUCUAGUCCGGAUCGCAGUCUACGCUCGCUUCCGUGAAGUCGGGAUCGCUAGUAAUCGCGGAUCGUAUGUCGCGGUGAAUACGUUCCCGGGUCUUGUACACACCGCCCGUCACACCAUGGGAGUGGGGUUUCACCAGAAGUAGUUAGCCUAACCGUAAGGAGGGCGAUUACCACGGUAGGAUUCAUGACUGGGGUGAAGUCGUAACAAGGUAA